rnacentral:rRNA from 1 species
AUUGAACGCUGGCGGCAGGCCUAACACAUGCAAGUCGAACGAGUGGCGGACGGGUGAGUAAUGUCUGGGAAACUGCCUGAUGGAGGGGGAUAACUACUGGAAACGGUAGCUAAUACCGCAUACCAUCAGAUGUGCCCAGAUGGGAUUAGCUGGUUGGUGGGGUAACGGCUAACCAAGGCGACGAUCCCUAGCUGGUCUGAGAGGAUGACCGGCCACACUGGAACUGAGACACGGUACAGAGUCCUAGAGGAGGCAGAAGUGGGGAAGAUUGCACAAUGGGCGGAAGCCUGAUGCAGCCAUGCCGCGUGUAUGAAGAAGGCCUGCGGGUUGGAAAGUACUUUCAGCGGGGAGGGGUUACUCGCAGAAGAAGCACCGGCUAACUCCGUGCCAGCAGCGGCGGUAAUA